rnacentral:rRNA from 1 species
UACGUAGGGUCCAAGCGUUAUCCGGAAUCACUGGGCGUAAAGCGUGCGUAGGUGGCGCGUUAAGUGUGGUGUUAAAUCGUGGGGCUCAACCCUAUCGGUGCAUCGCAUACUGGCGUGCUAGAGGACAGCAGAGGCAAGUGGAAUUUGUAGUGUAGCGGUGAAAUGCGCAGAUAUCAGGAAGAACACCCGUGGCGAAAGCGGCUCUCUGGAACGGUACUGACGCUGAGACGCGAAAGCGUGGGGAGCGAACAGG